rnacentral:pre_miRNA from 1 species
UUAACUCGAAUAUGUAUGAAGUUGUGGAACGUUUGCCUACGUUUGUCAUUAGGGGCGCUGUUCCCACUCCAUACAAAUUAGAGUUA